rnacentral:rRNA from 1 species
UGUGAGCUCGAUGAGUAGGGCGGGACACGUGGUAUCCUGUCUGAAUAUGGGGGGACCAUCCUCCAAGGCUAAAUACUCCUGACUGACCGAUAGUGAACCAGUACCGUGAGGGAAAGGCGAAAAGAACCCCGGCGAGGGGAGUGAAAAAGAACCUGAAACCGUGUACGUACAAGCAGUGGGAGCACGCUUAGGCGUGUGACUGCGUACCUUUUGUAUAAUGGGUCAGCGACUUAUAUUCUGUAGCAAGGUUAACCGAAUAGGGGAGCCGAAGGGAAACCGAGUCUUAACUGGGCGUUAAGUUGCAGGGUAUAGACCCGAAACCCGGUGAUCUAGCCAUGGGCAGGUUGAAGGUUGGGUAACACUAACUGGAGGACCGAACCGACUAAUGUUGAAAAAUUAGCGGAUGACUUGUGGCUGGGGGUGAAAGGCCAAUCAAACCGGGAGAUAGCUGGUUCUCCCCGAAAGCUAUUUAGGUAGCGCCUCGUGAAUUCAUCUCCGGGGGUAGAGCACUGUUUCGGCAAGGGGGUCAUCCCGACUUACCAACCCGAUGCAAACUGCGAAUACCGGAGAAUGUUAUCACGGGAGACACACGGCGGGUGCUAACGUCCGUCGUGAAGAGGGAAACAACCCAGACCGCCAGCUAAGGUCCCAAAGUCAUGGUUAAGUGGGAAACGAUGUGGGAAGGCCCAGACAGCCAGGAUGUUGGCUUAGAAGCAGCCAUCAUUUAAAGAAAGCGUAAUAGCUCACUGGUCGAGUCGGCCUGCGCGGAAGAUGUAACGGGGCUAAACCAUGCACCGAAGCUGCGGCAGCGACGCUUAUGCGUUGUUGGGUAGGGGAGCGUUCUGUAAGCCUGCGAAGGUGUGCUGUGAGGCAUGCUGGAGGUAUCAGAAGUGCGAAUGCUGACAUAAGUAACGAUAAAGCGGGUGAAAAGCCCGCUCGCCGGAAGACCAAGGGUUCCUGUCCAACGUUAAUCGGGGCAGGGUGAGUCGACCCCUAAGGCGAGGCCGAAAGGCGUAGUCGAUGGGAAACAGGUUAAUAUUCCUGUACUUGGUGUUACUGCGAAGGGGGGACGGAGAAGGCUAUGUUGGCCGGGCGACGGUUGUCCCGGUUUAAGCGUGUAGGCUGGUUUUCCAGGCAAAUCCGGAAAAUCAAGGCUGAGGCGUGAUGACGAGGCACUACGGUGCUGAAGCAACAAAUGCCCUGCUUCCAGGAAAAGCCUCUAAGCAUCAGGUAACAUCAAAUCGUACCCCAAACCGACACAGGUGGUCAGGUAGAGAAUACCAAGGCGCUUGAGAGAACUCGGGUGAAGGAACUAGGCAAAAUGGUGCCGUAACUUCGGGAGAAGGCACGCUGAUAUGUAGGUGAAGUCCCUUGCGGAUGGAGCUGAAAUCAGUCGAAGAUACCAGCUGGCUGCAACUGUUUAUUAAAAACACAGCACUGUGCAAACACGAAAGUGGACGUAUACGGUGUGACGCCUGCCCGGUGCCGGAAGGUUAAUUGAUGGGGUCAGCGCAAGCGAAGCUCUUGAUCGAAGCCCCGGUAAACGGCGGCCGUAACUAUAACGGUCCUAAGGUAGCGAAAUUCCUUGUCGGGUAAGUUCCGACCUGCACGAAUGGCGUAAUGAUGGCCAGGCUGUCUCCACCCGAGACUCAGUGAAAUUGAACUCGCUGUGAAGAUGCAGUGUACCCGCGGCAAGACGGAAAGACCCCGUGAACCUUUACUAUAGCUUGACACUGAACAUUGAGCCUUGAUGUGUAGGAUAGGUGGGAGGCUUGGAAGUGUGGACGCCAGUCUGCAUGGAGCCGACCUUGAAAUACCACCCUUUAAUGUUUGAUGUUCUAACGUUGACCCGUAAUCCGGGUUGCGGACAGUGUCUGGUGGGUAGUUUGACUGGGGCGGUCUCCUCCUAAAGAGUAACGGAGGAGCACGAAGGUUGGCUAAUCCUGGUCGGACAUCAGGAGGUUAGUGCAAUGGCAUAAGCCAGCUUGACUGCGAGCGUGACGGCGCGAGCAGGUGCGAAAGCAGGUCAUAGUGAUCCGGUGGUUCUGAAUGGAAGGGCCAUCGCUCAACGGAUAAAAGGUACUCCGGGGAUAACAGGCUGAUACCGCCCAAGAGUUCAUAUCGACGGCGGUGUUUGGCACCUCGAUGUCGGCUCAUCACAUCCUGGGGCUGAAGUAGGUCCCAAGGGUAUGGCUGUUCGCCAUUUAAAGUGGUACGCGAGCUGGGUUUAGAACGUCGUGAGACAGUUCGGUCCCUAUCUGCCGUGGGCGCUGGAGAACUGAGGGGGGCUGCUCCUAGUACGAGAGGACCGGAGUGGACGCAUCACUGGUGUUCGGGUUGUCAUGCCAAUGGCACUGCCCGGUAGCUAAAUGCGGAAGAGAUAAGUGCUGAAAGCAUCUAAGCACGAAACUUGCCCCGAGAUGAGUUCUCCCUGAC